rnacentral:antisense_RNA from 1 species
CUUGAUCGACCCCAGCCGCAGCGGACGGCCGGCCUCGCGGUCCUGUCCGUACGUCGCGAGCAGGGCGUGCGCCUC